rnacentral:rRNA from 1 species
GAAUAUUGGACAAUGGGCGAAAGCCUGACCCAGCAACGCCGCGUGGGCGAUGAAGGCCUUCGGGUCGUAAAGCCCUAUUGUGGGGGAAGAUGAUGACGGUACCCCACGAAUAAGCCACGGCUAACUACGUGCCAGCAGCCGCGGUAAUACGGGGGGAGCAAGCGUUGUUCGGAUUUACUGGGCGUAAAGGGCGCGUAGGCGGCCACCGCAAGUCGACUGUGAAAUCUCCGGGCUUAACCCGGAAAGGUCAGCCGAUACUGCGGGGCUAGAGUGCAGAAGGGGCAACUGGAAUUCUCGGUGUAGCGGUGAAAUGCGUAGAUAUCGAGAGGAACACCUGCGGCGAAGGCGGGUUGCUGGGCUGACACUGACGCUGAGGCGCGAAAGCUAGGGGAGCGAACGGG